rnacentral:rRNA from 1 species
GAUGAACGCUGGCGGCGUGCCUAAUACAUGCAAGUCGAGCGAACAGACGAGGAGCUUGCUCCUCUGACGUUAGCGGCGGACGGGUGAGUAACACGUGGAUAACCUACUUAUAUGACUGGGAGAACUUCGGGAAACCGGAGCUAAUACCGGAUAAUAUAUUGAACCGCAUGGUUCAAUAGUGAAAGACGGUUUUGCUGUCACUUAUAGAUGGAUCCGCGCCGCAUUAGCUAGUUGGUAAGGGAACGGCUUACCAAGGCAACGAUGCGUAGCCGACCUGAGAGGGUGAUCGGCCACACUGGAACUGAGACACGGUCCAGACUCCUACGGGAGGCAGCAGUAGGGAAUCUUCCGCAAUGGGCGAAAGCCUGACGGAGCAACGCCGCGUGAGUGAAGAAGGUCUUCGGAUCGUAAAACUCUGUUAUUAGGGAAGAACAAAUGUGUAAGUAACUAUGCACGUCUUGACGGUACCUAAUCAGAAAGCCACGGCUAACUACGUG